GCUGAUGAGUACAUUGAUAGUGAACAAGAGGAAUCUUUAGCUGGGGAAACAGCUUCUCCUGAAGUUUCAUGUUAUCCUAUGAAAAACAUUGCUGAGGAUGUGCAGAAGAGUGUUGUAGAACCAUUUCAUGGCAUUAAUGAUGGUAACUUGGUUUUCCAGGAUUAUAAUGUGUCUCAAGCUCCAUUUUCUAUGAAAACCAAAUGCCUAGCUGAUUU
rnacentral:misc_RNA from 1 species